AGCGAACGCUGGCGGCAGGCCUAACACAUGCAAGUCGAACGAAGUCUUCGGACUUAGUGGCGGACGGGUGAGUAACACGUGGGAACGUACCUUUUGGUUCGGAACAACUCAGGGAAACUUGAGCUAAUACCGGAUGAGCCCUUAGGGGGAAAGAUUUAUCGCCGAAAGAGCGGCCCGCGUUAGAUUAGCUAGUUGGUGAGGUAAAGGCUCACCAAGGCUACGAUCUAUAGCUGGUCUGAGAGGAUGGUCAGCCACACUGGGACUGAGACACGGCCCAGACUCCUACGGGAGGCAGCAGUGGGGAAUCUUGCGCAAUGGGCGAAAGCCUGACGCAGCCAUGCCGCGUGAAUGAUGAAGGUCUAGGAUUGUAAAAUUCUUUUACCAGGGACGAUAAUGACGGUACCUGGAGAAAAAGCCCCGGCUAACUUCGUGCCAGCCGCCGCUGUAAUAC
rnacentral:rRNA from 1 species